AACCCUAAAGUACUUUUAUGAACCCCUCCACAACUACCAGCGACAUCUACCGCCAACAUCCCCAUUUCAUCCCCAUCUACCACCCUUACAUCUGCCCUAUAUCUACCAACAUCAACCGUAAUCCUUGAAGUAAGAAAGCUGAUUCUCCGGCGGUAAGGUUACCAGCGACAAGCAAUUGAAGAACUUGAAGGAGAAGAAAUUAGUCGCGGAGAUUGAAAAAACAGCUAAAAUUGGGAAUGAGGCUGCCACCAAGAUAUUAGCUCGCCAGCUUGUUCGUCUUCGACAACAAAUAACAAAUUUGCAGGGGAGCCGUGCGCAGAUUAGAGGUGUAGCAACUCAUACACAGUCAGAUGGAGAAUUUGAGCAUGAAUUUGGAUCGGAUCUGGUGACGAUCGUUCCCGUUUCUUAAGGUGUUCGUCGGAAUCUGUUAUCUUCCGAGAAACGGGAGUAACCCGGAGAAGAUGGUGGCUGGUUUGUUUGUGGUGACGGAGAUCAAGAAUUGAAAGUGUAGUUUUACUAUGGUGGCUGGCGACGUCGUUGAUGUCAUCUAGGGUUUUUACUUACAGCAGCCAAAAUCCAAAUAUUUAGAUUCAUGGGUUCAUAACUGCUGAAAGCCAAAAGAAACCAUGGCGUUUGAUUUCUACAUCAACACAAUCUUCGUCUAUGUUCACAUCUAUGACGUUUUCCUAAGCUUUAAAUUCGAAAAUACUUUACAAAGCAGUUUAUGCUGGAAAUCGACACUGCGAUUGUUUCCGGGUUCAUCCCUGGUGCUGGGCACUGGGAAAACAUUAUAAAAGAAGGCAAUGGAUAGUGUUUCUAUGAGGUUAAGCCUUGGGAUAUCAGCGAAAACGAGAACUUCAGACACCUCUGAUUUCAGCGUGUCGUUUUCUUCAUGCCACUACAGCCUGCGGUUGAUGAGGUUGGGAACUUCCUUGACCAUACCAAACACCUACUCCAGGACUUCGACGACAAACAAAAGGCACAAAUUCACCUUUUUGCCAGCGAAGACGCUCCGCAUUACGCAUGGGAGCUUGAGAAGAUUGCCAUGAAAUACGGCUUAUUUUGCAACAAGCAAAUUCGUAUACCAUGGGGCGGGUUGAAGCGGACUGGAUUUUAUUACAUUGUUUCGUUUUCGUUUGAGGGGGAGGAAGAAGAAGAAGAAGAGGCCGAGGCCGAGGAGGAGGAGGAAGAAGGGGAAGCAUUGCAACAAGCAAAUUCGUAUACCAUGGGGCGGGUUGAAGCGGAUUGGAUUUUAUUACAUUGUUUCGUUUUCGUUUGAGGGGGAGGAAGAAGAAGAAGAGGCCGAGACCGAGGAGGAGGAGGAGGAAGGGGAAGGAUUGCAACAAGCAAAUUCGUAUACCAUGGGGCGGGUUGAAGCGGACUGGAUUUUAUUACAUUGUUUCGUUUUCGUUUGAGGAGGAGGAAGAAGACGAAGAGGCUGAGGCCGAGGAAGGGGAAGGAAAGUGAUUUGUGUUUGUUGGUUUUGGAAACUUUUUUUUGUAAACACUAAGUAGUAGUAGUAUUAGUAGUAGUUUUUUUAUUCAUUCAGAUUGAAACGAUACUUCAAGCUCUGGGAUAUGAAAACGAAUAAAACAGAGACUUGGAGGAAUUUUUUGAGUCUACUGCUGGCAAGUUUCAGACGGACCUUGGUAAAUCAUGGGCCGUAGAGAUAGCAUCAAGGAGGAAAAAACAAGGCUAGAUAUUGGAUAUGAAUCACUAGUUAUGAAGAUUUUGGUUGAUCUCUGCACAUUUGAGAUGCUAUCCAUGACACUUUGAUGGAAAUCAUAAUCUUUUUAGCCCUGAAGUGCCUCUCUGCUUAUUAAUGUUAGCAGUUUCAUUCUUGGGCUUCUUAGUUUUUACUUCUGCAGCUGGACACUUUUAUUGCAGUUUGAUCCAAGAUGUAGAUCGUUUUUUAAUGAAACUCAUGCUCGAUAAUCUUGCCA